rnacentral:rRNA from 1 species
GAUGAACGCUGGCGGCGUGCCUAAUACAUGCAAGUCGAGCGAACAGACGAGGAGCUUGCUCCUCUGACGCUAGCGGCGGACGGGUGAGUAACACGUGGAUAACCUACCUAUAAGACUGGGAUAACUUCGGGAAACCGGAGCUAAUACCGGAUAAUAUAUUGAACCGCAUGGUUCAAUAGUGAAAGACGGUCUUGCUGUCACUUAUAGAUGGAUCCGCGCCGCAUUAGCUAGUUGGUAAGGUAACGGCUUACCAAGGCAACGAUGCGUAGCCGACCUGAGAGGGUGAUCGGCCACACUGGAACUGAGACACGGUCCAGACUCCUACGGGAGGCAGCAGUAGGGAAUCUUCCGCAAUGGGCGAAAGCCUGACGGAGCAACGCCGCGUGAGUGAUGAAGGUCUUCGGAUCGUAAAACUCUGUUAUUAGGGAAGAACAAAUGUGUAAGUAACUAUGCACGUCUUGACGGUACCUAAUCAGAAAGCCACGGCUAACUACGUG